AAAAUAGCGAAACCAAAACAAAUCAGGCCCUUUAAAGGGUGCGCUGCGACCACAAGAGGUCUCCUUCCGCGCGCCCGGCCGCUCGCCGCUCCGUCCCUGUCCGAGUGGCCCCCGCAGGGAGGAGAGUCGGGUGCACCACACCCCAGCCAGGCUCCGAGCAGGGCCCGCGGAGCGGGAACGGGAUGCGGCCGCGGCUGUGAGCGACAGGGACCGUCGGAUGCGGGGCUCCCGGCCGAGGAGACAGGUCGAACCUGGUCCGCUCCAGCGCUGUGGCCGCGGGGGCCUGUCGGGCACGGUGAGUGGCCGCUCUGGGGGCUCGGCUUUCUUUGUUCCGGUCCGAGCGCGACUGGGAGGGCGAUUGCCCCGCACCCCGAGAGCUGCCCGGUCCUGGUCCCGGCCCCCAGCUCCGGCCCGGGAUCACCAGCCGAUACCAAGAGAUGCUGGAGCGAUGAACAGGGGACGCGGCGCGCUAGCCCGGGUGCGGACCCGAGUGGACAGUCCCAGGCGGCGCACACUCGGAGCCAGUGAGUUUCCGUGGAUGCCAUGGGUGUGCAUCCGCUCACCACCCCAACUAGCAAUGGUGACAGUAUACACAAGACUCAUGCAAACUUAAUCAGACAAAAACCAGCAUAGAACUGGGGAAAUGAACAGAAAGCCGCAGCUUUGGUGAAGCCGAAACAUUUGUCUUGCAUUGGAGUCUGCUGUUCUUUGCUGGCCACUAGAAUAGUGGAAGAAGAAAGCAAUGUUCCAUCCAUCCAUGAUGUGAUCCGGAUCGGUCAGUGUAAAUGUACAGCUUCUGACAUCAAACAGAAAUAAUUUCAAAAAAUUGCACUAUGAACUGGAAGCUGCUACUGCCUUAAACUUUUUGCACUUAUACCAUAGUCUUGUAUUUUAUCAUACUUAGAAAGAUAACAGUGAAUAUAAGAAGUGCUUUGGGGUUUUUAGGCAUAGCAGGAGAGGAGCUGUGAGCCUGGCUGGACCUACAGGAUCUGCAAGAGUGAAGGUUUGGACAGCAGAGGCUUAUGCCUAAGAAGACUAGUGAGGACUCUUGUGAAGACAUGAGCUGUGGAGAGGAGAGUCUCAGCAGUUCCCCUCCCAGUGAUCAAAAGGGCACCUUCUUCUUUGACUUCAAAGUUGUGAGGCAUGGUGGCGCACUCCUUUCCAGCACUUGGGAGGCAGAGGCAGGUGGAUCUCUGUGAGUUCAAGGCCAGCCUAGUCUACAUAGUGAGUUCCAGGCCAGCUGGGGCU